CUGCCCGCUCCCCGGGCCGCGCUGCUGGAAGGCCGUCCCUGGCCCGGCGGGCAUCCGUGGGGCCGGAGCCGCGAGGGGCUGGCAAAGGGACCGGUGCCCCCGCUACCGAGCUGCCCGUGCCCCCAGGUGAGCCGAGCCCUGAGGGCGGUGCCCGCUCUGCCGUAAGGUUGCAGCACAGCCUCUCUUCUCCCUUCCCGCGCAGGUACCAAGCUGAAGGCGAUGCCGGCUGCCAAGUCCAGGCUGCGGCAUCCCACCAACGGCCCCGCAGCUGGCACUGCCGUCCGCCGGGCCCGAGGCUCCCCACCGGGACAAAGCGACGGAAAGUAAUUGUGCAGUGCUGGGGGAUCUCGGAGGGUCGAUGCUGCACCGAGAAGGGAGAAGAGGGAAGGCCUGGGCUGCAGCACGGAGCGUGGGGAGUGGGGAGUCCGUGGCAGCAGUGCAAGUAGGAGCCCAGGGGACGUGGCUGUGCUGUGAGCGCUGUGCUGGCACCGCUCGGCUCCUGCCGGCACGGGCUGGUGGUCUGUUGGCUCAGUAUCUCUUAUGGGCCCGUGGGCGGCGGGCGCUGGUGCUGCUGGGCCUGGCAGAGCCCUGAGCUGCCCGAGGAGGGGCGCGGUGUGGCUGGCUUGUGGCUGUCCUUGCAGUCCUUGCAGUCCUUGCAGUCCCUGGGCCUGAUGUUCCUCUUCCGUAGCUGUGGCAAGGCUGGGGGCGGCAGACAGCCCCCUCGGAGGCUUCCCACCGCGAUUCCUACCGUGGUUUCUCGUUCCCAAUUGCAGCCAGCGGGAAAAGUGGCUUCCUCCAAGCACACUUACAUAGUUAAGGGGGAGUGGGCUGGGCAGAAGCCUUCGAGGUUCCAGUGUUGUGGCAGGGAGGAGGGGAGCUCCUUUUGGGGAGGUUAUUCGGGUCUCGGCUUCGGAGUCCAAGGCUGAUCCUGAGUGAGGACAGGAGGGGGCAGUGUGUGCAUGGGCUCGGAUGAAGGGCACUGAAACACAGAGCAGCGAGGCUGCAUGGAGCUCCUUUCCCUGGAGAGGCACCAAGAGAGAAUAAAUCUGCUGCUCUAGGUCACUCUCAGGACAGGGUUUCUGCCUGCUGUCUGGGCAUUGUCUGAGCAGUGCCUGAGGCUCUUCAUUUUUGUUUCCCAGAUCGUGCUUCAGAAUCGACUCCUCGGGAAUUGGUGUGCAAUAGGACCCGAGAGCUGAUGGAAAAUGAUAAAGCUGACCAGACGUGGGUGUGUGUGGGGUCCCCUUAUCUCAGUGCACUGUACCCUGGCCCUGCUCCAGGCUGUGGGGAUGCAGCCUGUGCUGUGCAGCCUUCAGGUUGCUAGCUGUCCCAGGAGCUGGAGCACGUGAAGAAAGAGCUGGCACGAGUGAAAAGGGAGCUAGGUAUAUGGGGCUGGCUGCUUUGGGGGUGGAACAGGAGCUCUGCUACUACCCCAAGAAGUCUGAGGGCGAGGUGUUUGGGCUUAAUGCACUGACUUGCCUUCUUCCCCAAGCUGAUAAGAGUGCCCAGUGUGAAGCCUGUUGUCAGACAAUCUCCUCCUUGCAGGCUCAGCUCAGAGCAGCAGGUACAUCGCCUUGCUGCGGUGAGCCCUCGCUUCUGUGCAGGUUGCAGGGAUGCUCCAGUGAUCCUUUGCUUGGUAUCCAAGUCACCAAGGGCUGCUGGGUGGAAGGGACAAUGCUUGUGGCCUGAGUGCUGGGAAUGCUGCUCUUGUUCCCCAGAAAUCUGUCCAGAAGAUGCUGCAGAGGAUAAGAACAGUGUAUGAGAGAGAAACUGACAGCUUCCCCCAACACACAGGACAGAUGGCAGAGACUUGUCCAGACACCUGAGCUGCUGGGCCAGUGAUGUUUUUAAUGGAUGUUUUUAACUCCUUGUAUUCAAAAUAAACAUGUCUUUUCUUGCAGUGUGCUUGCUGUCUGCUCUUGGAGGGCCAGUGCUCUGUGCUACCUGUUCUUCUCCAAGGGGCUGGGCAGAAAGGACAGCUCUUUCUCAGACUUCUGCCAGGCCAGAUCCGGAUCUGCUGCAUGCAAGGAAGAGGUGGUUGGUGAUGGUGGACUGAAGCACAGCCUGGCUGCAUGCAGGCCUUUCUGGACAAGUACAGGUACGUCUGAGAAGGAUGCUUGGACACAUGCUGGUGACACCAUGGCAGUGAGAGGCAGCUGUGUGAGGAGGUUUCUGCCUUAACUUUGUUCUUGCUGGAAGCGAGAAGAGUCAGUUCUUUCUGAUGGCACAUUUAGCUUCUGUGGCUGUUAGCUGCUUCUUACCAGUCUAGCUGGUGGUUUGUGUGUAGGGCAUGGAAGUAGAACAUGGGGCUCAGCUCUUCCCCAUUCCUGCCUGCGGGUGCGGGAAGCAGUGCUGCAAGCCCUGCCAUGCUGCUUUCUACCUGUGGUAGGUUGGCGUGGGUGCCUCAUCUGACUGCAUGGCAUCUGGGUGAGGCCCUGCAGAGCCCUGCUGCAUUGUGCUGACAGCACCCCGGGGCUGGGCCGGGCAGGUCGGUGUGCUCCUGCUUCCUUCUUGUCUCAGGCUGCUGUUUUUGGCCGCCCCUGAGUGUCACAGGCAGCUCCUCUCCCUUCCUGGGGUGGCUGUGUGUCCCUUUGCUCACGGGACAGCUGCUGGGGAUGCUCUGUCCUCUGCCUCCCACCUCUGCUCUGCUCAUGGGAAGCGAUGGGGCUCCAAGGGCUGAUUUAGGGCUGCCUCUGCAGGGCUUUUGUCUCCCUUUCUGGCCUGGAGCUGCCUGCACUCCCACAUCAUGCUGGCUAAGCAAGCGCUGCUGCUGCCUGCCUUCCUGCAGCUCCUGUUGGGACGUGUGCUUGGCUCGCUCUGCACCUCCGGGCUGGAUCAGGGCUUUGCGUUGGAUGAGAUGAGGAUGAGGCACCGUGAGGAUGAACGGGAGCCGUACCGGAGGUGCGGAAACAAGCGGGCGGGCCCGUCCUGCUCCGUGCCUCAAAGCGUCAUCCGGAGAGCUGCUGUCGUAGAAUCGCUUCUUGGAACAGGCGAGUCCCAGUGGCGUCAGCCCGGUUCUGACUGUCUGGGUAUUUCAGGAACCGGCCAUUUCCCCACAGCGCCGUGCCGGGGCUGCCCCGCCGCCGCCCCAUUGCAGCCCCCGCGGAGCCGCUGCCCACGUACCGAAGGAAGCGCGGCUUAAGUGCGGCCGCGCCACGUGGCGGUG